UACGUAGGGGGCAAGCGUUAUCCGGAUUUACUGGGUGUAAAGGGAGCGUAGACGGCGGUGCAAGCCAGAUGUGAAAGCCCGGGGCUCAACCCCGGGACUGCAUUUGGAACUGUGCUGCUAGAGUGUCGGAGAGGCAGGCGGAAUUCCUAGUGUAGCGGUGAAAUGCGUAGAUAUCUGGAGGAACAUCAGUGGCGAAGGCGGCCACCUGGACCGGUAUUGACGCUGAGGCGCGAAAGCGUGGGGAGCAAACAGG
rnacentral:rRNA from 2 species